rnacentral:lncRNA from 1 species
AAAAACAAGACAAAAAAAAAAAAAAAAAAAAAAAAAACCAAAAACCAAAACCAAAAACAAAACAACAAACAAAAAACAAACAAACAAACAAACAAACAAAACCGACACAGUGGCCUUAAAGUCACUUACUCCAGCUGAAAUGGAAACAACCUUUUGGUAUACCUCUUAACUAUUUGCUAAAAGAAAGACAUAGAUCCACUUUUAAGACUAUUAGUAAACCUUGACAGAAACCAAAGAAAAAUAGAAGACCCCCCCCCAUAGAAUUGUUGGAGAUGGAGAAGGGGUUGGGGAUAGUCUUUUUAAAGUAUUGUUAAACGUGUUUCUGUAUUGAAAACUCACGGGGGCACGCAUCUGUGGACAGUGUUACUAGAGAGACCCUGUCAGAAUACUGGACAAGGACGAGACAUCUUGAAGGUUGUUUCAUCCAGUGCUCCAAACCUCAGAGAAGCCACCAUCACCUACAAGGGGUGAUAUCACGGUGCUGUAAAACCAGCUGGCCUUUCGGCAUCUUUGGCAGACCUCUGUGUCUGAGGCCGAUGCUUGUUUUCCCUACAUUCAACUCCAGCUAUCUUACUUCACGGUCCUUAAUUCUUGGCGGGCUUGAGCCGUGGCUGUGCUAUCAUCCACCACUGACCCUAAGUUCCCUGGCAGCGCGCACAUCCUCAGCUGUGCUGUGAGGAGCUCCUUAGCUCCUUGAUGGACCCUCAGUGUUGGGAUUGGGAGGCCUGGUGUUCACACACACUGUGGGGGACACACACAUUACAUGGGGGAAUACCAUGAGCCAGGUCUGGCAUUCCAGCCACAUCCGAAGCAGCUUUGCUUUCUUUUAUUUGUUUUAUGUUGCUGUUGUAGGUAAGGAUUUUGUCUUGGGAGUAUGUUCUGAAGCUAAGCCAAAAUUUAGAAAAUAAUGAGUAUCAUUUUUUUAGACUCCCAUUGCGGCUUAGAGCACUUAUUACAUAUAAAGUUGUUCUGGUUGUUUACAGACCAUGGAAAGCUCUGUAAUGCUCAGUGCUGCUGUCCUAACUAUCAUCCUUGCCUUCUGUUAUGAAGCUACUUACUGUUUGGUUUAUCCCUCGGAUACAAAACUGCUUUAAAUGGGAACUUGUCCGGCCAAGAUCCCAACCUCAUACCUAGACUAUUCCCCCAGUUAGAAAACUGCCUUCCGAAUAUCCUGCGUUCCCUUAUGUCCAAGCCCUUCGCCAGUCACUGACCUUGUGUGUGGAGCAGAUGUGUCAUGCCUGCACUAGACACGCUGUCUCCACGGGUGAACACAUUAGUCUCUAGGCAGGGAGGUGAAUUCAGAAGGUGAGCAUGCCUGCGCCCAGGGAGAGAGGCGAACUGGAACAGUUAGUAUCAGCCGAGAAAGGAGUGAUGCCCACAGUGUGUGUGAACUUUACGUCCACAGGGACUACGGGGGAUGGGCGUUUAUACUGGAGCUCCUCUGGCCUUGGGGAGCUGCUUGGUAAGCAGGGGGCUCAGGCAGUUAGUAACUGUCCUGAGGGGUGCAAGUAGCUGUUCCCAAGUCCUGCUCUAAGGAAGAGAGAAAUAUUUUCCUUCUUUGAAAAAAAAAGAUGGUUUAAGGAUUUGCAGCUACAUUAUACACAUACAGACUCACAGGCAGACACACAGAUAUACAGACAGACUCACACACAUGUUUUUAAACCAAAGAUCUAUAGUUGAUAUGUUUUGCUAUUUGUUUGCUCCACUUUUAGACUUCUCUUAUUUCUAUGGAAUGACUAGCCAAUGGCAUGUAAUUUUUUUUUUUAAAGCGGAUGUGUUAUCUAGGUAGAGAUUCUUUACUGGUGUAGUUAUUAAAGGAAAAAUGUCUUCUUGAGUUAUCCAGUAGACUUUGGUUCACCAGAGAGAACUUCUCUGGCUCUCAGGUGGGUUGAGCACCCUGGCUGGCUUGUCCAGAGUCGUCGUGCUUGUCUCUUCCCAGUUGUGGUGGGUACUCACUGUGUUCUUUGGGUGCUGCGUAGGGAGAUGCUGGCAACAGAGGCAAAAGAGUUCUGUGUGAUUCUCCCCGCUCUCAUUCGGUGGUGCUUAGAGCCAUUGUGGCUAUGUGGAUGGCUUCCAGUUCCAAGUCACUCUAGGAGGCAGGCACCGGCCCAGGUCUUUACUUAUGGCAGAUUCUUAGCCAUCCAUCUGCCUGCUCAUCUUCUAAAACAGUCCUGCCAUUGACUAAGGAGGCCUUGCAGUUCCUAGUGAGAGCUUCUUCAGCUCACUGGACCUGUUCUCAGCAGAGAACCUAGGCUGUCAUUUUUAUGCCACUGUAUUGACUGAGAUGACUUACAGGCUGGGUGUGCAAGAAAAGAGAGAAACUGUAAAACUUUGUCUUUUCUUCCAAGAUUCCCAUGGCUCUACGGUUCUUUCUAUGUAGCUCUUGAAAGCAGCAGUGUUCAGGAGUUAUCAGAUGAACGUGUCCACCCGGGGGCUCUCCUCUCUCCUCUGUCCCUUUGAGCCAUCUAACAAAUGUACAUUACCUAGAUAAUCUGUUUUCAAAAAUUGACGUUAUGCUUGGCAUGGUGGCACAUGCCUUUAAUCCCAGCAUCAACAGUCGGAGGCAGGUGGAUCUCUAUGAGUUCAAGGCCAGCUUGGUCUUCAUGGUGAGUUCUUGUGUCUGUUUAUUUGAUUGCAGUUGAUUUCAUGGAGGACUGAUGUUUCUUUCUAACACAUCAAGAGGAAAAGUUUUGUAUGUGUUCUUGUUUUCCUAGGAUCCCUUUGUACUAGUCUAUU